rnacentral:rRNA from 1 species
AGCCUGAUGCAGCGACGCCGCGUGAGGGAUGACGGCCUUCGGGUUGUAAACCUCUUUCAGCAGGGACGAAGCGUAAGUGACGGUACCUGCAGAAGAAGCGCCGGCCAACUACGUGCCAGCAGCCGCGGUAAGACGUAGGGCGCGAGCGUUGUCCGGAUUUAUUGGGCGUAAAGAGCUCGUAGGCGGCUUGUCGCGUCGACUGUGAAAACCCGCAGCUCAACUGCGGGCCUGCAGUCGAUACGGGCAGGCUAGAGUUCGGUAGGGGAGACUGGAAUUCCUGGUGUAGCGGUGAAAUGCGCAGAUAUCAGGAGGAACACCGGUGGCGAAGGCGGGUCUCUGGGCCGAUACUGACGCUGAGGAGCGAAAGCGUGGGGAGCGAACAGGAUUAGAUACCCUGGUAGUCCACGCUGUAAACGUUGGGCGCUAGGUGUGGGGGGCCUCUCCGGUUCCCUGUGCCGCAGCUAACGCAUUAAGCGCCCCGCCUGGGGAGUACGGCCGCAAGGCUAAAACUCAAAUGAAUU